rnacentral:misc_RNA from 1 species
GGGAAGAGGAAAAGAGCUGUCAAGCUUGUAGAAGAUUCUGAAGUGUUUCAAGAGGGUACAAUUGGUGAAAGUCCAAGUGGAGGGAAACUAAGUACUUAUAAGGAGCUUUGCAACUUGGCAAACGAGAUGGGGCAGCCGGACAUGAUUUAUAAGUUCAUGGACUUAGCCAAUUAUCAGGCAUCUUUGAAUUCUAAAAGAGGUGCAGCCUUUGGAUUCUCCAAGAUAGCCAAGCAUGCCGGGGAUGCUCUGCAGCCUUACUUGCAUGCUCUUGUUCCAAGACUCCUUCGUUAUCAGUACGAUCCUGAUAAGAAUGUGCAGG